CCGCUUUCAGCAGGGAAGAAGCGAAAGUGACGGUACCUGCAGAAGAAGCACCGGCUAACUAUGUGCCAGCAGCCGCGGUAAUACAUAGGGUGCAAGCGUUGUCCGGAAUUAUUGGGCGUAAAGAGCUCGUAGGUGGUUCGUCACGUCGGAUGUGAAACUCUGGGGCUUAACCCCAGACCUGCAUUCNAUACGGGCGAGCUUGAGUAUGGUAGGGGAGUCUGGAAUUCCUGGUGUAGCGGUGGAAUGCGCANAUAUCAGGAGGAACACCAAUGGCGAAGGCAGGACUCUGGGCCAUUACUGACACUGAGGAGCGAAAGCGUGGGGAGCGAACAGGAUUAGAUACCCUGGUAGUCCACGCCGU
rnacentral:rRNA from 1 species